UUGGAUUUUCGAUGGUUGAAGCUGGCUACCCUUCUUUUUUUGUGAACCACCGUAGUCUUUGACCGCCGUUGGAGAAGUGGGGGCCUAACACGCUUCCGGUAGGGUCAUCAGUGACCCUUCGCUCUGGGCAGAAGCCUUGUGCUUCGAUAAGACUAAACUAUAUAAACAAAUGCAUGUCUAGAAUGUCAUUUAUGGCGAAAGCCAUUAACAAAAUA
rnacentral:misc_RNA from 1 species